AGCAGUAGCCGCGGUAAUACGUAGGGUGCGAGCGUUAAUCGGAAUUACUGGGCGUAAAGCGUGCGUAGGCGGUUCGUUAAGACAGAUGUGAAAUCCCCGGGCUUAACCUGGGAACUGCAUUUGUGACUGGCGAGCUAGAGUAUGGCAGAGGGGGGUAGAAUUCCACGUGUAGCAGUGAAAUGCGUAGAGAUGUGGAGGAAUACCGAUGGCGAAGGCAGCCCCCUGGGCCAAUACUGACGCUCAUGCACGAAAGCGUGGGGAGCAAACAGGAUUAGAUACCCGGGUAGUCCCUGUCUCUUAUAC
rnacentral:rRNA from 1 species